GUCUAUAGCCAUGUCACCCUGAACAUGCCUAACCUCUUCUGAUCUCGGAAGCUAAGCAGGGUUGGGCCUGGUUAGUACUUGGAUGGGAGACCACCUAGGAAUACCAGGUGCUGUAGGCG
rnacentral:rRNA from 1 species